UGGUUUGAAUGGCUUGCUUGGGCUUUUGAUGAUUGCUCAAAUCCCCAGAGGCGAAUGAUCUGCGUAUCCCUUUGGGUCCUUCGGACAGAGAGGAACCAGUAUGUGCAUGAAAAAAAUAAAGAAAUCUAGUAAAGAUAUUGCCUUCUUUAUUCAAAAAUACAUAACGAAGCUGGAUAGAUUAGAGGAAAACAGACUUACCAAGGCACCUAUCAGAGACUCAUGGGUUCUGCCUCCUGGAGAAGACAUAAAAAUCAACUUUGAUGUGGGUUUUAAUUGGGGGCUUUUAGAGCAAGCUCGGGAAUAGUUGCCAGAAACAGAAGGGAAAGAGUGAUCGCCUCCAGAGCGACCAUAUACGAGAAUGUUGACUCGGCUUUCGCAGCAGAAGCACAUGCAUGUUUAGAGGCAGUGAAAAUGGGGUUAGAAAUGAAAGAACAUAAAAUCUUUAUUGAAGGGGACUCGAUUUCAGUUAUAAGGAAAUGCACUUCAAAAUCCAGAGAUAAAUCAGAAAUAUGCUCCAUCAUACACGAUAUAAAGACUAUACAGAGAGAGUUCAAAUCCAUAAAAUUUCAGCAUGUCCAUCACACAGCAAGCAAUUUGGCAGAUAUAAUAGCCACUGGAAGUCUGAAGCAAAGGAAAGGGUUUUACCUGGAAGGUGCGGUACCAAGUCAUGCAGUCAAAACGCUAGAAGACGAAUGGAUCAGAGAACCAGACUGAAGCUUUGUGAGGAAGAUGAGUGUUUGCUCCAUGGGAAUCAAAACGUCGGAGUAAAAUGUUUUGAAGCGGAAAUG
rnacentral:lncRNA from 1 species